GUCCUAUACACACUUUGACAACACAUAUACAAAAAUUGUAACCAUACAGAGAAAAUUGGUGUGGCCCCUGACCAAGGAUAACUUGCAAAUUUGUGAACUGUUCCAUAUUUUA
rnacentral:snRNA from 2 species